rnacentral:lncRNA from 1 species
UGGAGCUGAAUCUGCCUUUGGCCUGCACCCCCACCCCACCCCCGAGUCUUCCGGAAGACCUGGCACUGUGGGAUGGGGGAGGGGAGCCCAGGCUCCCUGGGGACUCGGGGGGAGGGCAUGGGAAGGUGGGAAACUAGCUCUCCUUGGGGUGUGUGGGAGGUCACAGGGAAGACCAGGGGACUGAGCUGAGAGGGGCCCGGGAGAGACGGGUCCCAGAAGCCCCUGGGGGCCGAGGGCCUCUCCCACAGAGCUGGGCCUCCCCCCCCUCCCCAGGCUUGACCCAGGGCCGCUCAGGUGAUGAGGACAAGCCUGUCCAUUUGGGGGAUGGGGUGGGGAGGCUGGGGGUGUUGGGUGGCUCCGGAGACAUGAUGUGACCAGGGGGGGAAGGCUGAGCCUGGGUGGGAUGGGCCGAGAGCCACGCGAGACCCCACCUCCCUGUCCCCAGGCUGGCCCACCUGCCCAGGAUCGCCUGGGAGAAUCUCCACUAGCGGGGCUCCCGUGGUCGUGGAGGCCCGGCCGUGCUGUUGACUGGCACCCCGGGAGCGGCGCAGAGGGGGAGCCGGGAGAGCCCCUGGUCCUCCCCCCACCCCCCAGUCCCACACCUGUCCCCGCAACGGUUGCUCGUGGCCCACGUCCUCAGAGUUCCUGGGACUGAAAACCUCAGCCUGGUUGCCCCAGGGACGGGGUGGCCGAGCCUCACGCCAUCUGCCCUCCUCAGCCACCCAGCUGGUGCCUGGGUCCCAAGUGAAGAUCUCUGCUGGCCUGAGGCCUGAGGCCACCUGUAGCCCCCACACCUCCCGCAGACUGUCACAGAGCGGGCCCGAUGGUUCCUGCCUUGUUCCAUGUCGCCUGGGAGCCCCUGGUCCUGGUGGCCACUCCUCCACCCCAAGCUCGCCCACCCGGGGCCACUUCUGGGAGCCUGAGGACUGCGUGCGUGGAUCUCUGGGGCAGCCUCCGAGAGACGGUGCCACAGGGCUGCAUGGGAGGCAGCGGAGCGUCUAGAAAGUCGGGCAUCGACUUGAGUAAGACGACUUUCACUUUUCUGUGUGUGCCGAACUCUGCACCGGUCAGCACAGUCUGGUCAGAGCAACGUUCUUGUGUCUGGUGUCGUCAAAUUUUGGCGUCUGUCUAAGAUACGAAAAAAGCCCCAUGAGUUCAAUAAAAU